rnacentral:antisense_RNA from 15 species
GGGUGCUCUUGGCUUGCUGCCAUGAGCAUUUCUCUAAGUAGUAUUUGCAAGUGGUAGAAAGUACAAAGCCCCGAAUGAACUAUAAAUUCAAACGAGGCCGUGUAUGUAUCUGACAGUACAAAUACUAGCCUCUUUGCCACAAGGAGGCAACGAAAAAUGCCAAAAAG